UCUAGAAUGGCUCAGAUGGUAAAGUGUCUGUCUGCAAUGCAGAGGACCCAGGUUCAAUCCCUGGGUUGGGAA
rnacentral:tRNA from 1 species